AAAGUACCUAGUGGCGAACGGGUGAGUAUCACGUGAGCAACCAACCCCAGAGUUCGGGAUAACACCGGGAAACCGAUGCUAAUACCGAAUACCUUCUACGUUUCGCAUGGAACAUUGAAGAAAGAUUUAUCGCUUUGGGACGGGCUCGCGGCCUAUCAGCUAGUUGGUGAGGUAACGGCUCACCAAGGCAUCGACGGGUAGCUGGUCUGAGAGGACGAUCAGCCACACUGGGACUGAGACACGGCCCAGACUCCUACGGGAGGCAGCAGUGGGGAAUAUUGCGCAAUGGGCGAAAGCCUGACGCAGCAACGCCGCGUGGAGGAUGAAGGCUCUCGGGUUGUAAACUCCUUUCAGCAGGGAAGAAAUUGACGGUACCUGCAGAAGAAGCCCCGGCCAACUACGUGCCAGCAGCCGCGGUAAGACGUAGGGGGCAAGCGUUGUCCGGAUUUAUUGGGCGUAAAGAGCUCGUAGGCGGCUUAGCAAGUCAGAUGUGAAACCCUCAGGCUUAACCUGGGGCCGCCAUCUGAUACUGCUAUAGCUAGAGUUCGGUAGGGGACCAUGGAAUUCCUGGAGUAGCGGUGAAAUGCGCAGAUCUCAGGAGGAACACCAGCGGCGAAGGCGGUGGUCUAGGCCGAUACUGACGCUGAGGAGCGAAAGCGUGGGGAGCGAACAGGAUUAGAUACCCUGGUAGUCCACGCUGUAAACGUUGGGCACUAGGUGUGGGACCUUUCGACGGGUUCCGUGCCGUAGCUAACGCAUUAAGUGCCCCGCCUGGGGGAGUACGGCCGCAAGGCUAAAACUCAAAGGAAUUGACGGGGGCCCGCACAAUCGGCGGAGCAUGCGGCUUAAUUCGAUGCAACGCGAAAAACCUCACCUGGGUUUGACUUGUAGGGAAAAGCUGCAGAAAUGCAAUGUCCUUCGGGGCCCUACCCAGGUGGUGCAUGGCUGUCGUCAGCUCGUGUCGUGACAUGUUGGGUUAAGUCCCGCAACGAACGCAACCCUUGUCCUAUGUUGCCACCGGGUAAUGCCGGGGACUCUUACGAAACUGCCGGAAUUAAUUCCGAAGAACGGUGGGGACAACGUCAAAUCUUCAUGCCCCUUUCUUCCCGGGCUGCCACCAGGUUCAAUGGUCGAAACAAAAGGUUGCCGCCCCCCCAAGGGGAGCGAAUGCCUAAAAAUCGGGUCCAUUUCCGAUC
rnacentral:rRNA from 1 species